rnacentral:rRNA from 1 species
AUUGAACGCUGGCGGCAUGCCUUACACAUGCAAGUCGAACGGUAACAGGUCUUCGGAUGCUGACGAGUGGCGAACGGGUGAGUAGUACAUCGGAACGUGCCCAGACGUGGGGGAUAACGAGGCGAAAGCUUUGCUAAUACCGCAUACGAUCUAAGGAUGAAAGCAGGGGACCGCAAGGCCUUGCGCGUUUGGAGCGGCCGAUGGCAGAUUAGGUAGUUGGCGGGAUAAAAGCUUACCAAGCCGACGAUCUGUAGCUGGUCUGAGAGGACGACCAGCCACACUGGGACUGAGACACGGCCCAGACUCCUACGGGAGGCAGCAGUGGGGAAUUUUGGACAAUGGGCGAAAGCCUGAUCCAGCAAUGCCGCGUGCAGGAUGAAGGCCUUCGGGUUGUAAACUGCUUUUGUACGGAACGAAAAGGCCCUGGCUAAUACCUGGGGCACAUGACGGUACCGUAAGAAUAAGCACCGGCUAACUACGUGCCAGCCGCCGCCGUAAGAC